CUUGCGGCCAUAUUACGUUGAAACAACCGGUUCCCGUACGAUCACCGAACUUAAGCAACGUCGAGCCUGGUCAGUACCGAGAUGAGUGACAAAUUAAGAAUACCAGGUAUU